UACGUAGGGGGCAAGCGUUGUCCGGAAUUAUUGGGCGUAAAGAGCGUGUAGGCGGUCCGGUAAGUCAGCUGUGAAAGUCAAGGGCUCAACCCUUGAAAGCCGGUUGAUACUGUCGGGCUAGAGUCCGGAAGAGGCGAGUGGAAUUCCCGGUGUAGCGGUGAAAUGCGCAGAUAUCGGGAGGAACACCAAUGGCGAAGGCAGCACUCUGGGACGUGACUGACGCUGAGACGCGAAAGCGUGGGGAGCAAACAGG
rnacentral:rRNA from 1 species